rnacentral:rRNA from 1 species
UACGUAGGGUGCAAGCGUUGUCCGGAAUUAUUGGGCGUAAAGAGCUCGUAGGCGGUGUGUUGAGUCGGCGGUGAAAACCUGGGGCUCAACUCUGGGCGUGCGGUCGAUACGGGCAUCACUUGAGUUCGGCAGGGGAGACUGGAAUUCCUGGUGUAGCGGUGAAAUGCGCAGAUAUCAGGAGGAACACCAGUGGCGAAGGCGGGUCUCUGGGCCGAUACUGACGCUGAGGAGCGAAAGCAUGGGGAGCGAACAGG